rnacentral:rRNA from 1 species
UACGGAGGAUGCAAGCGUUAUCCGGAAUGAUUGGGCGUAAAGCGUCCGCAGGUGGCACAUCAAGUCUGCUGUCAAAGCCCCCAGCUUAACUGGGAAGAGGCGGUGGAAACUGGUGAGCUAGAGAGCAAUAGGGGUAGAGGGAAUUCCCGGUGUAGCGGUGAAAUGCGUAGAGAUCGGGAAGAACACCAGUGGCGAAAGCGCUCUACUAGGUUGCAACUGACACUGAGGGACGAAAGCUAGGGGAGCGAAUGGGAUUAGAUACCCCAGUAGUCCUAGCCGUAAACGAUGGAUACUAGGCGUUUCUCGUAUCGACCCGAGGAGUGCCGGAGCCAACGCGUUAAGUAUCCCGCCUGGGGAGU